AUGGAUAAGGACCAUAGUUUUUGUGAAUUGUGUAUGUGUAUAUGCCAAAAAAAUGGAGUAUGGUCUUUGUAUGUAAAAAAAAAAAAAAAAAGGUUCCUUGGCAUCUUCCAGGAAGGUUCCUUCGUGGGACCCCUUUUCAUUUCAAAGGAUGUUUUUCUUCUCUUUUUUUUAUUUGUGAACAAGUAAUAGGAGGGGGUCACGUGGGUAGACAGGGUGGUGAUGAUUAGAAUAAUGUGACGUGACUUUAUUUUAUUGGAGGGGUUGUUAGGAGGUUUUAAAAGAAGAUAAAUUUGGUUAUCUUUUUGUUAUUUGGAUAAAGACCCAUAAAUAAAUAAAUAAAUAAAUAAGUGAAAGAUGAGGUGAUUAUUUAUUUGUUUUACUUGUGGAAAAAUUAUAAAAAUGGGGGUUAAAUUGUGUGAUAAUGUAAUAAGAAAUAUUUUGACGGGAUAAAAUUACUUGUCUACAACGAUUUUUUCGUAUAAGGUUGACCCACCUAAUUAAUAAAUCUUCAAUAUUGCUCUUUUUCCGCAAUGACAAAAAAAUUCGAUGUCAUUUUUAUCUUUGAGCUAAAAAUAAUGAAAAAAUAAUAGUGAAAAGUCAUUUAAAUGUCAUAUUUGUGCAGUUUUGAAUAGUUAAAAGUCAUAUUUGUGCACUGUCAAAGUUUAAGGUCAAAGUUAUAAUUUGGUGUCAAGUUAGGGUCAUAUUUAUUUAUUAUGCCCUUAGAUUAUAAGCUGGACGCGCACAGUUUUGCGUGUUGAACACGCGUUUUGUCACGUAGGAUCGGAGGUCAUAUUUGUGCAGUUUUAAAUAGUUAAAGGUCAUAUUUGUGCACUGUCAAAGUUUAAGAUCAAAGUUAUAAUUGGAUAUCAAGUUUAGAAUAAUAUUUAUAUAUUAUGCCAAAAUUACAGGCGUGAUAUCACAAAGGCCGAUCAACCAGAAAUUUCAAUUAUGCCAAGUAAGUUAAUGAAGAAAUCCAAAGAAGUCAAAUUGGACAAUAUUAUGGAUGGGUCACUUCCCGAAACACAGGAAUCAGUUCACAAGUUCAAAGCAACGAUUGUAGAGAUUCUCAAUAAAGAUAAGUUGUGAUUUUCUUCUUGCAAAAAAUACCGCAAGACAGUUGAAGUCAUAGAAGAUACCGCAAAUUGCAGUAAUUGUAGCAUCGAAAAUGUUGAUUAUGAAAUGAGAUACUCCUUAAGGCUAGAAGUUUCUGAUGGAGAAUGACGCGCACGAGUUAUACUAUUUGAAGCAGCAAAACUUUUCUUUAGUUACAACGUCAAAGAGUACAUCGAUUCAACCUCUGUAAAGGAUCAAUAUGAAUAACUCAAACCCAAGAAGAAGUCUAAUUAUUCAAGAGAUAGAAGAAAUUCAAGAUGCCGGACCAAUAGUUGUGGAGGAAGAAGUUAAAUCAACAAGGAUGCGUGGGAAGAGAGGAAAAAAAAGCAACUAUCAAUAAUAAAAAAAUAAAAUUGGAAAAAAUAUAAUUUACCGAAUUCAUAGCAUAUGUAUUAUGUAUGUUAAGUGUGAAUUCAGAUUAUUUGUGAAUCGUUUCUAUUACAACA